GGGUGAACGCUGGUGGUGUGGAUAAGGCAUGCAAGUCAAGGGGCUUCUUUUAUUAGAAGUACCGGCGAACGGGUUAGUAAUACAUAGGUAAUAUACCUUGCGCACAGGGAUAACCUUGAGAAAUCAAAGGCUAAUAUCUGAUAGUUUUGUUCAAUGUUAAGUUGGGCAAAUAAAGGCUUCGGCCGGAGCAAGAUUAGUCUAUGGUCUAUCAGCUUGUUGGUGAGAUAAUAGCUCACCAAGGCUAUGACGGAUAGGGGGCGAUGAGAGUGCAUUCCCCAACAAUGGCACUGAGACACGGGCCUUACUCCUACGGGAGGCAGCAGUCGAGAAUCUUCGGCAAUGGGCGAAAGCCUGAUCGAGCGACGCCGCGUGCAGGAAUAAGACCUUCGGGUUGUAAACUGCUUUAAAGGAAGAAGAAUCUACUUUUUGUAGAUGACGUACUCCAGGAAUAAGGGGGUGCUAACUCUGUGCCAGCAGCAGCGGUAAUACAGAGCCCCCGAGCGUUAUCCGGAUUUAUUGGGCGUAAAGGGUCCGUAGACGCCUCAUCAAGUUUCUUGUUAAAUCUUCAGAGCUCAACUUUGAAGCUGUGAGGAAAAACUAAUGAGGUAGAGGGCGUUAGAGGUUAGCGGAACAUACGGUGUAGGGGUGAUAUCCGUUGAUAUCGUAUGGAACACCAAAAGCGAAGGCAGCUAACUGGGACGACCCUGACGUUGAGGGACGAAAGUGUGGGUAGCGAAGAGGAUUAGAUACCCUCGUAGUCCACACCGUAAACGAUGGAUACUAGCUGGUGGGAGUGUCGACCCUUUCACUGGCGAAGCUAACGCGUUAAGUAUCCCGCCUGGGAAGUACGACCGCAAGGUUGAAACUCAAAGGAAUAGACGGGGGUCUACACAAGCGGUGGACCACGUGGCUUAAUUCGACGAUAAGCGAAAACCUUACCAGGCUUGACAUGUUAAGUGAAAAUUCACCGAAAGGUGAACUCCGCAAGGCACUUAAUACAGGUGCUGCAUGGUUGUCGUCAGCAGGUGCCGUGAGGUGCUCCCUUAAAUGGGGAAACC
rnacentral:rRNA from 1 species